UUUUACUUGAUGGAAAUCAUCACAAAUAGUACGUACGAGGUUGGCUCCAUUGUCCUUCGAAAGUCGAAAUAUCGCGUCAUAGCCUCCUCGGCGAUUUAUAUGAUGCGAUAUAAAAGAAGAUUGAUGUACAUUCGACGUAAUAUAUAAACGUAACAUAUUAAAAAGAAAGAUUACAACAAAAAAUAAACGAAUAUAAAUAAUCCGCGGCAAUUCAAGCUCUAUUCGUGAACUUUUCGUCGCCCCGUCUUUAUUUCACUAAAGCCCGCUCGCAAGCUAAUACUCCAAGAAUCUUGGAGUAUUUGUCUGACACGUGACCAGCGUUUACCAGGAUUAUGUCGCUGCCUUCAACUCGCGGCUAGUCCUGGGUACGAGGUUGUUCACCCCCCUGAUAAUAUUCAAAAUGGCGGACGUCCAAGGGGGAAUGCCUCUUGAGCACACACUGGCUAGGACCUGGCAACGGUUACUCGAGUCGACCUUCUGUGUGUCUUUGUUCUGCCCCAGGGGGUGACUGCUUCUAUUUACGAUACUUGCCGAGUGAUGAAUCAUGACAAAUAGCAAUUACUUGGUUUUGAUGGCAUGCAACAUGUACGCACUGCGUACCUAUUUUUUAAAAAUAUAGGAACAGCCUAAUUUCGCAGAAAACUCUCAUGUUCCAUUGGAUAUUUUCCCACCACUGCCAUUCACUAAUGGGAAAGAUUAGCAUAAUUAGUCGGUGUUCGAAGAAACCGAGCAGCUCAUUCUUUUGUACACAAUUUAUUUAUUACUUACGGACAUCAGCGAUGUGUCGUUAAUUAAGAUUCCUUCCUGGAUUUGUGCCAAAAUUCUCCCCAUUGCUCCAUAAAAUUCAUCUGCACUUUCCAGGUCUUCCAAUUGUCUAUUAAAAAAAGGAUUAGAAGAAUUUAGAAAAAGCAAAACCGUUG